ensembl:snoRNA SNORD16 Small nucleolar RNA SNORD16
UGCCAUGAUGUCAUAAUUUGCUCCUUACUCUGCUCUCGGCGACAGUUGCCUGCUGUCAGUGAGCUGGUGCAAAAGGGUGACUAAUGUUCUCACUGAGCA